rnacentral:rRNA from 1 species
AGAGUUUGAUCCUGGCUCAGGACGAACGCUGGCGGCGUGCCUAACACAUGCAAGUCGAACGGGGUUGAAAGGAGCUUGCUUUUUUCAAUUCAGUGGCGGACGGGUGAGUAACACGUGAGUAACCUGCCUUUCAGAGGGGGAUAACGUUCUGAAAAGAACGCUAAUACCGCAUAAGAUUGUAGCUUCGCAUGGAGCAGCAAUCAAAGGAGCAAUCCGCUGAAAGAUGGACUCGCGUCCGAUUAGAUAGUUGGCGGGGUAACGGCCACCAAGUCGACGAUCGGUAGCCGGACUGAGAGGUUGAUCGGCCACGAUUGGGACUGAGACACGGCCCAGACUCCUACGGGAGGCA